AGCAGCCGCGGUAAUUCCAGCUCCAAUAGCGUAUAUUAAAGUUGCUGCAGUUAAAAAGCUCGUAGUUGAAUUUCGGGACCAAUAUGUCGGUCGUGCUUAGGUACGUACUGGCAUCGUUGGUUUCUCCUUUCUGAAGAACCAUGAUGUCAUUUAUUUGGUGUCGUGGGGAAUCAGGACUGUUACUUUGAAAAAAUUAGAGUGUUUAAAGCAGGCUCACGCUUGAAUACAUUAGCAUGGAAUAAUGAAAUAGGACGUUUGAUUCUAUUUUGUUGGUUUCUAGGAUCGACGUAAUGAUUAAUAGGGAUAGUUGGGGGCAUUAGUAUUCAAUUGUCAGAGGUGAAAUUCUUGGAUUUAUUGAAGACUAACUACUGCGAAAGCAUUUGCCAAGGAUGUUUUCAUUAAUCAAGAACGAAAGUUAGGGGAUCGAAGACGAUCAGAUACCGUCGUAGUCUUAACCAUAAACUAUGCCGACUAGGGAUCGGAUGAUGUUAAUUUUUUAAUGACUCAUUCGGCGCCUUACG
rnacentral:rRNA from 1 species